rnacentral:misc_RNA from 1 species
GGUGCUUGCAGAAAUGCUUGCACGGCGGCGGCCUUAAAACGCGCCAAAUGGCACCCUUUGUUUAUGAGUACCGUUCGUUUCCUCGGUGGGCUUGCCUGCCACGAGGACCAACAAAAACCUUUGUAGUAGCAGUAUCUUCAGAAAAACAUAAUAAUUACAACUUUCAACAACGGAUCUCUUGGUUCU